UCAGAUCACGUAAAAUUUUAAUAGUCGAACAGACUAACCCCAUUUAGCUUCUUCACCAAAAUAAAAUUUAAUUCAACAUCGAGGUCACAAACUUAAAUUAUUAAUAAGAACUCGUUAAUUAAAUUAUGCUGUUAUCCCUAGAGUAACUUAAUUUCUUUUACUUUUAUUCUUCAAAAAUUUUUAUCUUCAAAUGUUACCCCAACCAAAAAUUAUUCUACUCUAUAUUUAAAGCUUCUAGGGUCUUCUCGUCCCAAAAUCUUAUAAAAGCAUUUUUACUUUUAAUUUAAAUUCAAAAUAAUUAAAUAAAACUUUCUUUUUAGUUUUAACCCUUCAUUCCAGUUUUCAAUUAAAAAA
rnacentral:rRNA from 1 species